rnacentral:rRNA from 1 species
UACGUAGGGUGCGAGCGUUGUCCGGAAUUAUUGGGCGUAAAGGGCUCGUAGGCGGUCUGUCACGUCGGGAGUGAAAACUCGGGGCUUAACUCCGAGCCUGCUUCUGAUACGGGCAGACUAGAGGUAUGCAGGGGAGAAUGGAAUUCCUGGUGUAGCGGUGAAAUGCGCAGAUAUCAGGAGGAACACCGAUGGCGAAGGCAGGUCUCUGGGCAUUAACUGACGCUGAGGAGCGAAAGCAUGGGGAGCGAACAGG